rnacentral:rRNA from 1 species
UACGUAGGGGGCGAGCGUUGUCCGGAUUUAUUGGGCGUAAAAGGCUUGUAGGUGGCCACGUCAAGUCGGAUGUGAAAUCUCCCGGCUCAACUGGGAGGGGUCAUUCGAUACUGGCGGGCUCGAGGCCGGUAGGGGGAAGCGGAAUUCCCGGUGUAGUGGUGGAAUGCGUAGAUAUCGGGAGGAACACCAGUGGCGAAGGCGGCUUCCUGGACCAACACUGACACUGAUGAGCGAAAGCCAGGGGAGCAAACGGG